rnacentral:rRNA from 1 species
GUGCCAGCGCCGCGAUAAUACCGGCAGCACGAGUGAUGACCGAUAUUAUUGGGCCUAAAGCGUCCGUAGCUGGCCAAGCAAGUCCAUUGGGAAAUCCACCCGCCCAACGGGUGGGCGUCCGGUAGAAACUGGCCGGCUUGGAACCGGAAGGCUCAGAGAGUACGUCCGGGGUAGGAGUGAAAUCCCGUAAUCCCGGACGGACUACCGAUGGCGAAAGCACUCUGAGAAGACGGCUUCGACAGUGAGGGACGAAAGCUCGGGUCUCAAACCGGAUUAGAAACCCCAGUAGUCC